rnacentral:rRNA from 1 species
AGAGUUUGAUCCUGGCUCAGAUUGAACGCUAGCGGGAUGCCUUACACAUGCAAGUCGAACGGCAGCGGGAAGAAGCUUGCUUGCUUUCUUUGCCGGCGAGUGGCGAACGGGUGAGUAAUGUAUCGGAACGUGCCCAGUAGCGGGGGAUAACUACGCGAAACCGUAGCUAAUACCGCAUACGCCUACGGGGGAAAGGGGGGGAUUCUUCGGAACCUCUCACUAUUGGAGCGGCCGAUAUCGGAUUAGCUAGUUGGUGGGGUAAUGGCCUACCAAGGCGACGAUCCGUAGCUGGUUUGAGAGGACGACCAGCCACACUGGGACUGAGACACGGCCCAGACUCCUACGGGAGGCAGCAGUGGGGAAUUUUGGACAAUGGGGGAAACCCUGAUCCAGCCAUCCCGCGUGUGCGAUGAAGGCUUCGGGUUGUAAAGCACUUUUGUCAGGGAAGAAAAGGUUCUGGCUAAUACCCCGGAACUGAUGACGGUACCUGAAGAAUAAGCACCGGCUAACUACGUGCCAGCAGCCGCGGUAAUACGUAGGGUGCAAGCGUUAAUCGGAAUUACUGGGCGUAAAGCGUGCGCAGGCGGUUCGGAAAGAAGGAUGUGAAAUCCCAGGGCUCAACCUUGGAACUGCAUUCUUAACUACCGAACUAGAGUAUGUCAGAGGGGGGUAGAAUUCCGCGUGUAGCAGUGAAAUGCGUAGAUAUGCGGAGGAAUACCGAUGGCGAAGGCAGCCCCCUGGGAUAAUACUGACGCUCAUGCACGAAAGCGUGGGUAGCAAACAGGAUUAGAUACCCUGGUAGUCCACGCCCUAAACGAUGUCAACUAGCUGUUGGGCUUCGGGGCUUAGUAGCGUACGUAACGCGUGAAGUUGACCGCCUGGGGAGUACGGUCGCAAGAUUAAAACUCAAAGGAAUUGACGGGGACCGCACAAGCGGUGGAUGAUGUGGAUUAAUUCGAUGCAACGCGAAAAACCUUACCUACCCUUGACAUGUCUGGAAUCCUUUAGAGAUUUAGGAGUGCUCGCAAGAGAACCGGAACACAGGUGCUGCAUGGCUGUCGUCAGCUCGUGUCGUGAGAUGUUGGGUUAAGUCCCGCAACGGGCGCAACCCUUGUCAUUAGUUGCCAGCAUUCAGUUGGGCACUCUAAUGAGACUGCCGGUGACAAACCGAGGAGGGUGGGAUGACGUCAAGUCCUCAUGGCCCUUAUGGGUAGGGCUUCACACGUCAUACAAUGGUCGGGACAGAGGGUUGCCAAACCGCGAGGUGGAGCCAAUCUCAGAAACCCGAUCGUAGUCCGGAUUGCAGGCUGCAACUCGCCUGCAUGAAGUCGGAAUCGCUAGUAAUCGCGGAUCAGCAUGUCGCGGUGAAUCGUUCCCGGGUCUUGUACACACCGCCCGUCACACCAUGGGAGUGGGUUUUACCAGAAGUAGUUAGCCUAACCGCAAGGGGGGCGAUUACCACGGUAGGAUUCAUGACUGGGGUGAAGUCCUAACAAGGUAGCCGUAUCGGAAGGUGCGGCUGGAUCACCUCCUU